CCCGCCUGCCCGGCCACGGGAUGCCCUGGGAAGGGGGCCGGGUGGGUGUGGCAUCGCCAGUUCCCAGACCUUGGACACGCCCCAGGGGCCAGAGUCUCUCCCCACCCUUCAAAAAAUCGGAGAUGGAGAUGCUGGCACGCCCGAGAGCGCGCAGGGGGGUGCCCGGGGCCGUUGACACCUUCUCACCACCCCUUGGUCCCCUCGAGACAAGAUGGCUGACCAGCGUUAGGGGCACGGCGGGAAGCCUUGGCGGAGUUUUCUGUUUUGUGUGGCUUUCCCGCGAGCGGCCUAAUUAGCAUGUGCCCUGAGGCACUGGACCAAGUGGCCACACUGUUCCUGCGCCAGCGGGUCCAGCGCCGACGACAGUCCCCUCAUCCGUUUCUGAGUUGGCUGAUCUAGUCUGGACCCAGCUGGAGCAGCCUAUCUGGAGCAGCUCUGCCCCAUAUGUCUCUCAUCCACCUCUUGGUAUCAGCAGACAAGAAUGAAUCACUGCUUUCCCCUCACACCCUGCACCCACUCCAAAGAUGGAAAGGAUCCAAUGUAGUCAACUUGCCAGCAAGAGGUUGAUCAGUCUCCUCAAGGAAUGGUGCCAUAUCAAGGGCUCAGCCUUGGUUUCUGUUGUUGGAAACAUGGAUAUUUGGUGGCAGCAAUAACUGGAAUAAGCCUUGAAUGGAAAAAAUUUGAUCAAGUCUAUGGAAGUCUACAAUCAUCCUGCAGGUGUCAUUCGAUUUUUUCAGGACCAACACAGGUGAUUUAAAUGAAGAUGUGAUGGAAACCAUCACCCUAUGCUACUGCCUCCA